CAGGAUUUCUUCAAGAAGAAGGGAAGGAAUGGAUCCAUCCCUAUAUUCUCAGUUCAGCUUUGCUGAGACCCACUUGCAGAGAAGAAUACUCUUAAUCUCUUGUGGAAACAGUGCUGCAAAGGACAGCAAAGGAAAAACUGGACAUCACUGAAGAAGGCAGAUGAGGUACUCUUUCAAAAUGCUCAGCUGUCCUAAAAUUCAACAAGCCAGAAAAAAAAUCACAAUAAAAGCAGAAAACAGUUGCA
rnacentral:lncRNA from 1 species